GACGAACGCUGGCGGCGUGCUUAACACAUGCAAGUCGAACGGAAGGGCCCGGCUUUUGUUUGUUUCUCGUUUGGCGAGGGGGUGAGUAACACGUGUGUAACCUGCCCUUGACUUUGUGAUAUCUUCAGGAAACUGGGGCUAUUACCGGGUAUGAGCUCCUGCUCCAUGUUGGGGGUUGGAAAGAUUCGGCGGUUGUGGAUGUACUCGCGGCUUAUCAGCUUGUUGGUGGGGUAGGGGCUUACCAGGGCUUUGACGGGUAGCCGGCCUGAGAGGGUUACCGGCCACAUUGGGACUGCGAUACGGCCCAGAAUCCUACGGGAGGCAGCAGUGGGGAAUAUUGCACAAUGGGGGGAAGCCUGAUGCAGCAACGCCGCGUGCGGGAUGCCGGGCUUCGGGUUGUAAACCGAUUUCGCAUGUGACGAAGCGUGAGUGACGGUAAUGGGUAAAGAAGCAACGGCUAACUACGUG
rnacentral:rRNA from 1 species